UCACGCUCUCGCUUCCUUUCCGGACGCAGCAGAAAGGAGAAGGUGAGGUGCGGACGGCGGAGCAGCAGAAGUUCAGGGGCGGCGCGGCGGAGAGAAGUUGAGUGGCCGAGACCUUGCCGCCGGACGGCUACAGCCGUCUCCUGCUUCCUUUCCAGCCGCGGCGGAGCAGGAGAGGUUCAGGCGCGGCGCGGCAGGCGGAGCAAGAGAGGUUCAGGCGCGGCGCGGCGGAGCAGGAGAGGUUCAGGGGCGGUGCCGACGGAGCAGCAGAGGUUCAGGGGCGGUGCCCUUGUCGACGGACGGCUACAGCCGUGGCGGAGCACAAGGCGGGAGAGGUUCAGGGGCGGGUCGGCACUGGCCUGGCCGGGAACGCGGGCUGCCUGGAGGUGCUCAUCGCCUCGCCGUGGUCCUGAAGCCCCUCAAGCAUCUCCUGCCCGCGUGGCCGCCAUAGCACUGUUGUUGGAUGGGUGUGGCUUUUGCUGAAUUUUCGUCACCCUGAGCUUCUGGCGAGUUUGCUCCCCUGAGCCAUAACAGAGGGAGUGAGAAGGGAGAAGAGGAAAAAAGACCUUGCUGAUCGAGACGAUAUUGACACCAUUUUUUGUGUGUUGGAGCGAUUUGAACCAUGGCAACCAGAGCGAUUUGUUAGGAGAUCCUUCACUAUGCUGAUGAAAGAGUUGCACCAAUUCCAAAGCUGAUAAGCAAAAGGAUGACAUAUUUUUUGCAAUUUUGAGAUGGUGCACUGAAAGGGCCAUCAAUAAAAAUCUAGCAAAUCUAAAUGAAGACAGCCAAGUCACUUAGGUUAGUGAGGAGGUGCAACAGCAUGAGUUCGGAUUUUCUCCACUUGCAUAUAUUUUUCUAUUGAUUUAUUGUAUCAAAAUUGUCAAGUAGUCAAUUAGUGAUGGCGCAUGUUUUCUGAUUCUUGCAUAUUUGAGAGAGGCAAACUGCACGUGGGAUUGAUGAUCAGGCAUUAAUUCAAUGCCAGCCUCAUUGCCAUUAGUUUUGGGUAGAAUUUUUAUUAGCUGAACAUUCCUUCUGAUUAGGACCUGAUGAUGAUCCAAGACGGUGUAACAAGAUAAUGUAGUACGAGAGUAUUUCACAAAUCACAAUCUCUGAAGAAGACUAUGCACUACUACACAGAAUUAUAUAGACUGGCACUUGAUCUAUACAGUACUGAAUAAUUCAUUCAGUUCAAGCUAUGUAUCUACGGAACAAGAAUUAUCUCGUAACAAAAAAUAGUUGGUACAAAGUUGUCAUCUUGGUUAUUAUUACCCUUAAUGGCAUUAACGAUGUUAGUAGCUACAGCCUACAUAUGUGUGCCAUAAGAGAGUGUAAGCCUCGUGGUGCGUUGAUACUGUAGCUGCCACUCCAAAAGGUUCCAUUGACCUUAUACAUCACUUCCAUCUGUUUGAUUCAUUUUGGUUCAUGACAACUGGCCUCUAAAGCUUGUGUCAUGUAGUCCAUCAACUAAAUGUGCUGUAUUAGGAUGUCUAAUUCUUAAGUGUAACCAGGGAUCAGUUUUAUUUGAUUUGAAUUAACAAGAUGGCUUGUACAUUAUUUAUAAUGAUUAUAGAUAUUAUGAUCUCAGUCGCUUGAUUUGAAGGCCGCAAAUUUAUUAUCCCGUUGCAACGCACGGGCCAUUUUGCUACUGUUUGCCGACGAGAAUAUGCCAGUCGCAAGUUACAUGUUUCUGCCGUCGGCUGGUGAUUCUUUUGCUACUUCAGGGGCCACCAGCGGCACCUGCUGCGAACUAUUGCAUUGCUGGUUUGUGUCUCUGGGACUGUUUCGCAAAUCAUGUCAAUGAGACUAGCAAUUUGAAGAGACAUGGUCUGAAGAUAUUUGCAUAUACAGUACUGUAGAUUCUCCCACUGAACAUAUCAAAAUAGCAGGUUCCCUGAUCUUAUAAAUAAACAAUAUUAGUUAAUUGUUGAUAAUGUACUAAUAACCUCAUUUGCAUGUGCCUAACGCCCUAAUCUUUGAUCCAGCAGCAUUUUGGUAAGCAUAUCUUUGGCCCAAGUAAAAAAGAAGAGUUGAGCUUUCACUCUCUCUGGUUGGCUGAAGGUAUCUGGAGUUUAGCCCUGCUGCAGGGUAAGGAAAGCCAUGACCUCCAAACAGACUGUGCAUAUGAACCAAGGAUAACAGAAACAAGCUAUGCUUGCAACUCAGUUUUCAGGUAUCUUCCCCAACGAAUAUUGCCCUGGUACUGACAGGUUGUCAGUACAUAUCUUGGUGUGGACUUCACCAGCCGUUCAACUUUUCACUCCAUUAUAUAUUCAGAGACCACUUAUUACUCACCCCAGCCAAUAUAUGGUUCACUGGAUCAUUGAUAGUCACGAUUGACAAAGAUCAAACAUUUUGUGGAGAACUAGGGAAGAGAGAAAUGUUGCACUGUAGUUUGAUUGACACAGGUUCGCACAUAUACAAGUUCGCUUAUAGCUUUGAUACUACUCAAAUAUCCUCCAGAUUUCUGUGCAAAUUCAUGAAUGAUUUGCUUUCAUUUAUUUCUGUCGGGUUGAAUGUGAGGAACUUGAUUUAUUGAUAAUUUGAUGUAUGUGUGUUUACAUUGCAAUGAAGGCCAUGAUAGGCAUGUCAUAUGUUCAGGUAUGCGUAAUGAAAACUAUUUUUGUAGCAAGUUUCUAUGGAUGAUUACGAGCAAUCUUAUUCAAAAUCAAAUGUUCUCAUGUAUCAUUUUUGUUGUUAUGCAUGUAUAUUGCAGAGUAUGGCGGCCCCUAUUUUUAAGAAUUCAUACCUGAGAGCAGAUGUGUUAGUUACUACUGUAGUAUUUAAAUUCUUCAAAUUUAAAGGUGGAUAUCUAGCGGAAGGACGAGACAUUGCCGGUGGAGAGUAUUGUCAGGCCAAAGACCCAUAUAUCGUGGCAUUAGUUGUCGAUUAGGAAGUUUAGUAUGCAGGUGGAGAUGACAUGAUUUUUUUUCUUCUUUAUAUUGAAAUCGUCUAGCGGCAUUUUACAUGUUAACCAUGUUUUUUUGCUGAAUCUGUUCAAAUCUUCGAUCAGAAUUUUGUGGAAAGAAAAGGUGAACCAUUAUUCCAUCUAUAUAGGAUUGUAGAAUGUUGUUCAGUUAAUAAUAUUUCAUUGUUGU